rfam:Camelus ferus unplaced genomic scaffold scaffold2787, whole genome shotgun sequence.
UUGCCCAACGGGGCCAUGGAUACCUGCUUUUUAAUUCUU